CUUCACUAGAAAGUUCUUUGGGCUGAUUUGGAUUGGACUGACUCAGAGAGGACACAGUGGGACGUGGAAAUGGGUGGACGGCACGCCACUGACCAAAAGUUAUUGGCGUCCCGGGAAGCCCAAUGAAUUUGAAGGCAAAAAAGAAGAUUGUGUGGUAAUAAAGCACCAUGAGAUGGACGACAGCUGGAAUGACAUCCCAUGUGAGGAUCAGAACUUCUGGAUCUGUGAAAAGAUGGUGGCUGUAUAACUCAGCAGGUGAAACCUCUGCAGAGCUGACAUGAACUGGAGUCCACGACGUCACGCUUUGCAGCAAUAGCAUCACCGUUCAUCACGCUCCACAUGCCAAGUGCAAGUGUUGGUCAGAAGGAUCAUUUCAAACAGAAGAGAUGUUUCCUGAGCAGAGGCCUUAUUGUUGUUGUUUUUUAUCCGUAUAAUCAUAUCUCUGACUCCCAUCUGAUCAGGUAAUGAAGACAUUUAAGGAGAACUUGUACAACUGAUUCAUAAAUCACUGAACGAAAAGUUUAACUGUCUUCAUCAAAAAAUCAACAUAAUAACAUAGAACAUAUUCUCCCGUCCCGUCUCGUUACCUUCUCUCUUCUUCUGUCUAAUGUCACCCCGUCUCUUCCUGUCUCAUCCCGUUAUGUCCCGCCAAUCCCCUUCAUGUUCCGUCCUGUCCUGUGAUGUCCCCUUUCAUCUCAUCCUGUAUCUUCUCAUCUCUUCUAGCCUUGUUGUCUCGCCUCUUCUCUUCUCGUCCCAUCUCAUCUCUGCCUGUUCACGUCCCGUCUCGUCCCUACUCAACUCUUCUGUCUAAUCUUGUCUCUUCUUGUCCCAUUGCGUCCCUUCUUAACUCUUCCGUCUUGUCCCAUCAUAUGUAGCGUAUUCAUUUGAGCACUCAAUCGUAUUUCACAAUUUGGGUGUAUCCGAAUAAAAUUCAAGAAAAAUCUCUUUAGGAUUAAAAAUUCGGAUUACUUUGCAUUAACAGUGCAAUAAAGCUGGUUUAAUUGAGAGCCUCACAUGGGGCACCAUUUAUGUUGUGGUUUUAUAUAGUCAAAUUUAGUUCUUUUAUUGAUAAUUAUUUUUAGUUUUAUUGAUUUGGGGCACCACUCUGACAUCAGAAUAACCAAAUAUCACCGAAAUCAGUCUCGAAUUAGGUAAUUAAUUACUAAUAUUGUUAAUAAUUAAUUAAUAACCUGUAUUUAUGUGCACUGUGUGCAUGUCUGUGUAACACUGAAUAUUACAGACUACACUUUUGUCAAAUAGCUGAUCUGUUUUUUAUUUUGUAAAUCUAUUUUUUAGUAUCUAUUUUUUGUAUAUUCUUAAUUUUUAUUUUUUAUUUAAAUUGUACUGUGUUCACUUUUUGUCUGCAAUCUUUGCUCUUUGCUGCUGUAACGCUGUAAAUUUCCCAGUUGUGGGAUAUAUAAAGGAUUAUCUUAUCUUAUCUUAUCUUAUCUUAUUUAAUAAAUUGAAGGUGCUGUUAUAACGCUGUUUACGGAAAACAAACACAGGACGCGGCGGCCCAUACACAGAAACAAAACAAAAGUUUGAAACCGGUAAAACUCAGGAUGCGGCGGUCCAAUUAAGAAGAAAAAGAUUACAGUUUUUACAUUAAUAAAACAAAUAUUAAACACAUUCUCUGAAGCUCAGACCACGCAGACCUGUCCGCAAUUGAUGAAGGACAAAAGGUACGACGAUGAAAACAGAUCUUCCGUCCGUUCCAGUGCAGAUGAGUUUUUGAUGGUGGCGAGGAUUCCUAACGGCAAGAGCGGCGUCGAUGUGUUCUCCUUCGAGUGGGAAGACGUCCGUCGAUGUCCUUUUCAUUACAGGACGGCAUAGGACCGUUAUCUUUUCAGUCAAUGUCAGUUCAAUGGAGGAUCUGAGCUCGGGAUUCAGAACACUGUCCGCGCUUAGGCCGAGGGUUGCCUGCGCGCCGAAACUUGAAACAAUGAGAAGGGUACUGUAAAAACAGGAGGAAAACUUGCGUCUCCGAACACUUGAAGUCAGCACCUGGAAAGAGAAUGGACAAUGGGAGACCACUGGUUUUGUUGUCAGACCUGCUCCUAUCAGAGCCUUGAACCCAGGCUCCCCCUACACUUCACACCUUAGCGUGAAGUACUGCAGAGCAUGCUGGGAUUAAGAGUUCUUUAAGCUCCUUUGUGUGUUUUCCCUCCAUUUAACAUGCAGUCAGGUUUUGGAGGCUUUCUCCUAUUGGGCUGGGACCCAACACUGUAUAACUCAGCAGGUGAAACCUCUGCAGAGCUGACAUGAACUGGAGUCCACGACGUCACGCUUUGCAGCAAUAGCAUCACCGUUCAUCACGCUCCACAUGUCAAGUGCAAGUGUUGGUCAGAAGGAUCAUUUCAAACAGAAGAGAUGUUUCCUGAGCAGAGGCCUUGUUGUUGUUGUUGUUGUCUUUUUUAUCCGUAUAAUCAAAUCUCUGAAUCCCAUCUGAUCAGGUAAUUGAGACAUUUAAGGAGAACUUGUACAACUGAUUCAUAAAUCACUGAACCAAAA